rnacentral:rRNA from 1 species
UACGAAGGGUGCAAACGUUGCUCGGAAUUAUUGGGCGUAAAGCGCACGUAGGCGGCUUGGCAAGUCGGAUGUGAAAUCCCUCGGCUCAACCAAGGAAGUGCAUCCGAAACUGCUGAGCUUGAGUACUUAAGAGGAUCGCGGAAUUCCCGGUGUAGAGGUGAAAUUCGUAGAUAUCGGGAGGAACACCAGUGGCGAAGGCGGCCAUCUGGACGGUAACUGACGCUGAGACGCGAAAGCGUGGGUAGCAAACAGG